rnacentral:rRNA from 1 species
UACGGAGGAUGCAAGCGUUAUCCGGAAUGAUUGGGCGUAAAGCGUCCGCAGGUGGCUGUGUAAGUCUGCUGUUAAAGAGUGAGGCUCAACCUCAUAAAAGCAGUGGAAACUACACGGCUAGAGUGCGUUCGGGGCAGAGGGAAUUCCUGGUGUAGCGGUGAAAUGCGUAGAUAUCAGGAGGAACACCUGAGGCGAAGGCGCCUGCCUGGCAGUGUAUUGACGCUGAGGUGCGAAAGCGUGGGGAGCAAACAGG